AUUCCAGCUCCAAUAGCGUAUAUUAAAGUUGUUGCAGUUAAAAAGCUCGUAGUUGGAUUUGUGGUGGAUUGUGGCGUCCUCUUUUGGUUCUGUCAUGAUCUGCCAUCCUUGGGUGGAGCCUGUGUGGCAUUAGGUUGUCGUGCAGGGGAUGCUCAUCAUUUACUGUGAAAAAAUCAGCGCGUUCAAAGCAGGCUUAUGCCGUUGAAUGUAUUAGCAUGGAAUAAUAAGAUAGGACCUUGGUACUAUUUUGUUGGUUUGUGCACCGAGGUAAUGAUUAAUAGGGACAGUUGGGGGUAUUCGUAUUCCAUUGUCAGAGGUGAAAUUCUUGGAUUUCUGGAAGACGAACUACUGCGAAAGCAUUUACCAAGGAUGUUUUC
rnacentral:rRNA from 1 species